AAGUAUUAAUAUAAUUUUCAAUACUGUAAAAAAUUGUCUUUUCAUAAAUCUAGGCUGUCUAUGCAAUAAAAAAGAUGCUACAUGACCAGUGAAAACAGGGAACAAGGUCUGUGCCAUUUGCCUAAGCUCAAGAGGUAGAAAACCUACAACUACCAGAAUGCAUUGCGUCCCAGGAAUGGCGCGCUAGCUCGGCCAUCUUGUAAAAGGAAACAAUAUGGCGGUGUUCAGUUAAAUGAUAUGAGAGCGGUAUUGAUCUUCUAAUUCAACUCAAUGCAAGAUAGCGGUUCAAUAGUUGGAGGUGUGUGUGGUGGUGGAGUCGCUCGGUAACGAGCCCCGGCGCUGUGAGUGUGAGCGGCAGAGCAGCAGCAGACGGAGCUCCGGAGAGACGCUGCUGGAGAAGGCGGAGUAGAUCCAGGGGUUGGUGCAGGAGUUCAGACUGGCCAGCAGCAUCAGCAGGACAGUGAUGACGAGGGCAGGGAGGAUGAAGACAGCCAGGGUCAUCCAGGUCACAUAUGCUUUGAGGCCCCAGGACUCAGCGAAGGUGCCCCAACAUUCGUAGACACCUGGAGCUACUUCUGAACGGGAG